CCUACCUCUGCCAAAAGCCCCGCCUAGUCUCAGCUAGAUUUAAAAAGGCUUUUUGUGGUGUUAUUGGGUAAGAAGAAGGAGAUUCUGGCAUCACCAGAGAAUUAAGAGUCAUUGUCUUCAGGUGGCAAGAUUCUGAGCCCCUCAGAAGGCAAAAGUGAUGCUAAGAGAGGUAUUUCCCUUCCACUGCCUUGCCUGGGGCCUCUGACAAGACAGGAUUUGUCUCAUGUCCCUGACUCCAGAGGUGAUCUGAGACCCUCUGAUGGUCCUGAGAAGAUGUUCUUGCUUCUAGAAAGCAGAAGUUAAGAGACAAUCUGGUAACUGAAUUUUCAGCAGUCCCUUUAUCCUGUUCCUGAAGCAGAUUCCCAGACAAGGACAGAUUUGCUUCUGAAGCAAGGGUCAAGUAAAGGUGGAUACAGAUGGGAUUAAUCACACAUGCUAGACUUCAAGCAAGGAAUUACCUUAAGGAUGAGGCCGGGGGUUGGGGUGCCUUACCCAUCAAGAUGUACCUUUAUAACCUUCUGCAAGAGGAAAUUUGAAAUGAAAAUUCUGAGUCUCUGGAUUUUAUGAGAACAGCUUCUAGAACCCUGGACUUCUAGCCCCAGACCAUGGGCUGCUACUCACCCACCUCUGCCCCACACUGUGAGGGGCUUUCAGUGCUCACAUCUAAGCUCCAGCCGCACCCACACUGGGAGGACAGAUCCAGGGGACAGACCCCUGCUGCAUAGGCCCUGGAGCAGACUCAAGUGCUGGUUGGGCAGGGCACUUGGAACAAAGCCCAGAAGAGGGACACAGGGGCGAGCAAUGUCAACCCUUGGCCCGUGGACUUCUCAUCCACUGGGGAGAGGUGCCUUCAGAAGAGGGUAGAGGGGGCCUUCUUGCCUGGGUCCGAGGGGGGACUUCUUAGGGGUCAGUGGGUGAUUGCAGAAAGGAUAGCAGGGCAUCUUGUCAUGCGUCUCAAAGAGGCCCAGGUUUUGGAGAGAGAACACCAGAGAAGUGGUUAGAAGAGCAAGAAAGACACCUCCCAGACCCCAUGGAGGUGGCCAGGUGAGCCGAGGCCAUGGGCGAUAGCCUCAGAUGCCCGGUGCGGGGAUGGACGGAGCUGCACAUCCAUGUUCCACGCUGGAAUCCAGCAUGCUUGUACUUCUUCCUGUGGCGUUGGCCCCCCUGGGAUAUUUCUCAUGUCUUAUCUUUUUCCCUGUGUAGUUUGGAAUCUGUCCCUGCUGACUUGUCAGAGAUCUUUUGGGCUUAUAUCUGUGCGAGACAUCACAGAAGCAGAGACAUCCCUUGGGUCAUCGGAGCCUACACUGGAGCCCCUUGAGGGUAGAACUGUGCCUCAUUUGUCAUUGCUCUCCUGUAGGGCUGGGCACAUUGCAUGACUGUUGGGCCAGUGCCCAGGCCUGCUGCCACGCAGUCCUGCAGGCGGGUACUUAGAGGAGGAACAGGCCUUUGAACUCACCCUCUUUCCCAGGGAGUCUAUGUAUUGUGUAACUUUUUAUUUUGAAAUAAGUAUAGAUUAUGCAAGGGUAGUGCAGAGAGGACAUGUCUCCUUUAAGUGUCCCCCAAUGGUUACAUCUUACCUAACUACAGUACAAUAGCAAAACAAGAACCUUGACAUUGGUACAGUGUGUAAGGUUCUCUGCCAUUGUAUCACUUGUGUCAUAUAACUUUAUUCAUAUAACCGCCACCUCAAGCAAGAUGAGGACUAUUCCAUCACCACAAAGAUCUCCCUUUGGGAGAUAGCCACCCCACCCCUCCGUCCACCAUCUAACCUCUGGCAGCCGCUAAUCUGUUUCCCUCUCGAUAAUUUUGUCAUUUCAAGAAUGCCUAUAAAUAGGGUCUUACUGUAUGUGACUGUUUAAAAUUGGCUUUUUCCACUCAGCAUAAUGCCCUUGAGAUCCAUCCAAGUGUUGCAUGUGCCAACGGUUCACUCGUUUUUAUUGCUGAGCAGGAUUCCGUGCUAUGAAUGUCACAGUUUGUUUAACCAUUCACUCACUGAAGGAUGUUUCGGUUGUUAACAGUUUUGGACUGCUGUAAAUAAGGCUGACAAAUAAUCACGUACAAGUGUUUGUGUGGACAGAAGUUUUCGUUUCUCUGGGAUAAAUGCCCAGGAGUUCAAUUACUGGCAAAAAUAUGUUUAGUUUUUAAAGAAACUGUCAAACUCUUUUCCAGGGUGGCUGUGCCAUUUUUCUAUUCUCACUGGCAAUGUCUGAGAGGUCCUGGCUUCUGUUUAGAAUAAUAAAACUUUAUUAUUUUAGAUUUAAUUAAUUUACAAUUUAUGGCAAUUUAAACAUUAGACAUAUCCUUGGUAUAAAGCAUAAAAUAAGGGACAUGAGUGGGAAUUGGUUUUAGUGUUGAAUUCUACUUGAUUAUAUAUCCUACUUGCAAGAGCUGUAUAUAAAUAUGAAUAAACAUGGUUUUUGAA